CUUGGGGGCAAAGGGCCUUAGCUCAAUGGUAGAACAUCUGUUUUGCAUGCAGAAGGUGUCAGGUUCAACCCCGGCAUCUCUAAGU